rnacentral:misc_RNA from 1 species
GAAAUGCGAUAAGUAAUGUGAAUUGCAGAAUUCAGUGAAUCAUCGAAUCUUUGAUCGCACCUUGCGCUCCUUGGUAUUCCUUGGAGCAUGCCUGUUUGAGUAUCAUGAAAUCUUCAAAGUAAAUCUUUUGUUAACUCAAUUGGUUUCUACUUUGGUAUUGGAGGUCUUUGCAGCUUCACACCUGCUCCUCUUUGUUCAUUAGCUGGAUCUCAGUGUUAUGCUUGGUUCCACUCGGCGUGAUAAGUUAUCUAUCGCUGAGGACACUGUAAAAGGUGGCCAAGGUAAAUGCAGAUGAACCGCUUCUAAUAGUCCAUUGACUUGGACAAUACUUUUAUGAUCUGAUCUCAAAUCAGGUAGGACUACCCGCUGAACUUAAGC